UACGGAGGGUGCGAGCGUUAAUCGGAAUUACUGGGCGUAAAGCGCACGCAGGCGGUUUGUUAAGCUAGAUGUGAAAGCCCCGGGCUCAACCUGGGGAUGGUCAUUUAGAACUGGCAGACUAGAGUCUUGGAGAGGGGAGUGGAAUUCCAGGUGUAGCGGUGAAAUGCGUAGAUAUCUGGAGGAACAUCAGUGGCGAAGGCGACUCCCUGGCCAAAGACUGACGCUCAUGUGCGAAAGUGUGGG
rnacentral:rRNA from 1 species